UACAGAGGGUGCGAGCGUUAAUCGGAAUUACUGGGCGUAAAGCGUGCGUAGACGGUUAUGUAAGUCGGGUGUGAAAGCCCCAGGCUCAACCUGGGAAUUGCAUUCGAGACUGCAUAGCUAGGGUGCGGAAGAGGGAAGCGGAAUUUCCGGUGUAGCGGUGAAAUGCGUAGAUAUCGGAAGGAACACCAGUGGCGAAAGCGGCUUCCUGGUCCAGCACCGACGUUCAGGCACGAAAGCGUGGGGAGCAAACAGG
rnacentral:rRNA from 1 species